UACAGAGGGUGCAAGCGUUAAUCGGAAUUACUGGGCGUAAAGCGUGCGUAGACGGUUGCGUAAGUCAGAUGUGAAAGCCCCGGGCUCAACCUGGGAAUUGCAUUUGAGACUGCGUAGCUAGGGUGCGGAAGAGGGAAGCGGAAUUUCCGGUGUAGCGGUGAAAUGCGUAGAUAUCGGAAGGAAGACCAGUGGCGAAGGCGGGUCUCUGGACAGUUCCUGACGCUGAGGCACGAAGGUCAGGGGAGCAAACGGG
rnacentral:rRNA from 1 species